UGUUGAUUUCAGUCAGAUGGAACUAUUUCACUUUCUGAAGCAAACUGAAUUUUCAAAAAGUGUCACAACAAAUUGAAGAAUACUUUUUUUUUUUUUUUUCCCCAAGGUAUAGCAGGGAAGGGAAUUCUUCCUCAAAUGAAAAACGAAGGAAUAAAAGAAGCUGUUUUAUCAUGAGAUUUCAGCAGUCUCCCAGCUCAUCACUGAAGGAUGUUCCACUUUGAUGUUCACAGGAUAAUGACUGAGAAAAGAGAGAAACUCACUCUGAUUUGAUACUCAUAUUGACUGAAGGGCCUGAAAAACAGUAUUCCAAGCAGC
rnacentral:lncRNA from 1 species